GUCCUGGCCCUAAACGCUGCUCGCUCGUUUUCGGAAGUAUCGACCCUUUCGGAGACUAAGCUAACGCGGUAAGCGAGCCGCCUGGGUAGUACGAGCGCAAGCUUAAAACUCAAAGGAAUAGACGGGGACUCGCACAAGCAGUGGAUCAUGCGGCUUAAUUCGUCGCUAAGCGAAGAACCUUACCAAGGUUAGAAACCCAGCUGCAUAUUCUAAGAAACUAGAAUAGCCUUCGAGGGUGCUGGG
rnacentral:rRNA from 1 species